GACGAACGCUGGCGGCGUGCUUAACACAUGCAAGUCGAACGAAGAGCGACGGAAGCUUGCUUCUAUCAAUCUUAGUGGCGAACGGGUGAGUAACGCGUAAUCAACCUGCCCUUCAGAGGGGGACAACAGUUGGAAACGACUGCUAAUACCGCAUACGAUCUAACCUCGGCAUCGAGGAUAGAUGAAAGGUGGCCUCUACAUGUAAGCUAUCACUGAAGGAGGGGAUUGCGUCUGAUUGGCUGGUGGGAGGGGUAACGGCCCAUCAAGGCGAUGCUCAGUCGCCGGUCUGCGAGGAUGAACGGCCAAAGUGGGACUGAGACACGGCCCAGACGCCUACGGGAGGCAGCAGGGGGGAAUCUUGCGACAUGGGCGAAAGUCUGUCGGAGCAACGCCGCGUGAGUGAUGACGGCCUUCGGGUUGUAAAUCUCUGUUAAUCGGGACGAAAGGCCUUCUUGCGAAUAGUGAGAAGGAUUGACGGUACCGGAAUAGAAAGCCACGGCUAACUACGUG
rnacentral:rRNA from 1 species